CCAAUCACUAGGAGCAGUGGGCAGACACAGUCUGGCAUCUGGGGACCAACUUCAGAUGUAGAGGCGCUGCCUUGGUCAGGGGCAGAGAAAGGAGCAGACCCUAAAUAAGUUAUGUUUUUGUGAUGCCUGAGG